rnacentral:ribozyme from 1 species
AGUCGUUCGUGCGACUAUAAAUAGACCUUAGGCACGAAGCGGGGAGAGUAAUCUCCCGUGGCA